UUGAGUAACAUUAACAUCAAUCCAGGCAUGAAGAACAUUAUAGAGCUGUAAUAAUUCUGUCCUUUACUUUUCAUUUCGAAAAUUGAAUAAAAUGAUAUGCUGGAGUGGUCAUCAGAUCAUUGGCUUACUAUUUUGUUAUUGAGCUGUUCAUGAUGUAGUUCCAUUAAGAUGUUUAAUGCUCAAAAGGGAAGAAAGUCUCGUAAACCAGUUCAUUGGGAGGUGGUUAAGUGUCCUAGACAACCUAGAUCGGUGGAAUGUGGAUAUUAUGUUAUGAAGUACAUGAAAGAAAUUAUUGGAACUCCAAGCAGCUCAAUUUUAAAUAUGUUCGAGGGAAAAGAGACUUACACUCAAGAAGAGAUUGAUGUAGUUCGAAUAGAAUGGGCGGAGCAGGUUGAUGGAUAUAUUGAAGAUGAAGUAAAAUAGUCAGCAUGUAUUACUUGUUUUGGAUGGUAUGAAUUGAGUUAUAUAUGUAGCAGCUGCGACUAGCUUUGAAUUAUGUAGUUAGCUUCAAAUCACUAGUAGUAGUACAUUCUGGUAUUGGACUUCUUGUUU